rnacentral:rRNA from 1 species
UACGGAGGAUGCAAGCGUUAUCCGGAUUUAUUGGGUUUAAAGGGUGCGCAGGUUGUUUGAUAAGUCAGUGGUGAAAGUCUGUCGCUUAACGGUAGGAUUGCCAUUGAUACUGUUGGACUUGAAUAUGGAUGAGGUAGGCGGAAUGUGUAGUGUAGCGGUGAAAUGCAUAGAUAUUACACAGAACACCGAUUGCGAAGGCAGCUUACUAAUCCAUCAUUGACGCUGAGGCACGAAAGCGUUGGGAUCAAACA